GGAGAGGUGACAGAGUGGCCGAUUGUGCGGCACUGGAAAUGCCGUGUGCCCGAAAGGGUACCGCGGGUUCGAAUCCCGCCCUCUCCG
rnacentral:tRNA from 1 species